AUUCUCCCCAUUAGUUUUAAGUUCCUAGAGAAUAUGGACCAGAAGUCAAUUAAUCCAACCCCCUUUUUAUUUAUACAUGAGGAAACUGAGUGUGUAAGGCUACCCACUAGGUAGAUGUACUGAGAUUUGAACCAGAUUCUCCCAUUCCAAAUUCUCCUUGUCAUAGCUUUGUGUCUUCAGAGUUUAGCAUGAUAAAUGUAAAGUGUCUUAUAGAAUGCAUAUGAGGUACCUUCUAAUUCUGACGAUUUUUAUUCUACCUGGCAUUCAGUAGGUGCUUAUCAAAUGUUUUUUCACUUAUAUUGGAUUGGAUUCGAGUUACUAUUGCUACGUUUUUCUGUCCCUAGAUUUUUCUCCUAGAAUGUCAGACCUGGACCAAAAUUGGAAUCAGAGAUUCAUAGACUAUUUGAACUAGAAUCUUCAUGUUCUGAUGAUCAAUAAUCAUAUUGCAUUUGUUCUUCUAACCAAGCAUGCCAGAAACACUCCCCUACAGUCCUCCUUAGAAGCAUCAACAUAGGUGAGAGGUGACCCUGGAAUCUUGAAGGCUAUUCCAUCACCAAUGGAACACAUGCUCAGGAACUUCCCAAACAAUGAGCUAGAUCUGGCAAUGCAUGUACCAACCUCUUCAUCUAUGUGGACAUCCCUAGAAAGUAGACUGCCAAAGUCCGGUGCCACCUCUCUGUCCCAAAGGAAUCAAGGACUUGAGUUCAAAUUCAAGCUCUUCUUUGAAUUAUUUGUGUGACGUUGGAAAAAUCUCUGCCUCUCUAGGCCACCAUUUCCACCUCCAAAAUGGGAGGAGUUUCACUUAUGUGAAGACUGAUGUCCCUUCUUACCCUAAAUCUACUGUGGUCAUAUGAAUUGUUACUAUACUGGAUUUCAUAUUACAGUAAGAACAUAAUAUAAAAGCUAUGGAGGAGACCCUAUGGAUUUGGAAGUUGUUACCUAAAAGGAUGAAUUUUCUGUACCAACCAAACUGGUUUGAUACCUUUCUUUCUCCUAAUCAACAGUGAAACAACUCUUCACUUGGCCAGAGGAAAUGCGGUCUGGAAAGAGCUGGCUGUGGAGCUCAGAAGACUCCCUUAACUAAGAACAAACUAAGGGUCACUAAGGAAAGAUUUUACAGUCCCUCAUGAGUAGGAAGAGGACUCAGUAAUGUUCUGACUGUGGCGAAGAUGACUCAAGUCUACAUCAGGCAUUUUGUACUUUCUAGUUCAGAAAGGGCAGACUUUUCUUCUCUAGCUCCUGUCUUAGGCUAUUGUAUAGAGCAGUGAUUUGGAAAUGACAGUGGGUCAGGCCCUAGAUGAAAAUAAUUGCAGGGCCUUGGGGGAAGAGAUUUGCAAUGUAAAUAGAAAUCUUUCUUGACUGGAAAAAAAAAACCCUCUCAUUUUGUGCAUUUAGGAGAGAUAGAAUUCAAACACAUGUAUAUACAAA
rnacentral:lncRNA from 1 species